AACCUAGCACACCUGCGGUGUGUACCUGCGGAAGGAUCAUUAAUAGAGUGUAUACCCCCCCGAUAAAAAAGGGGGGUAACCUCCCGUCCUUUGUUGGUCCCCUAUUUGGGGGGUCUUUUAUUUUAACUUUGCUUCGGUGGUAACCCACCGGAACACCCCCAAAAAUUCUUGAUUUCAAAAAUUGUUCAGUCCGAGAAAACUUUUAAUAAAAUUAAAACUUUCAGCAACGGAUCUCAGAUC
rnacentral:misc_RNA from 1 species